UACGGAGGAUGCAAGCGUUAUCCGGAUUCAUUGGGUUUAAAGGGUGCGUAGGCGGAAUGGUAAGUCAGGGGUGAAAGUUUGCGGCUCAACCGUAAAAUUGCCUUUGAUACUGUCAUUCUUGAGUACAUACGAGGUAGGCGGAAUGUGGCGUGUAGCGGUGAAAUGCUUAGAUAUGCCACAGAACACCGAUUGCGAAGGCAGCUUACUAGACUGUAACUGACGCUGAUGCACGAAAGCGUGGGGAUCGAACAGG
rnacentral:rRNA from 1 species